rnacentral:rRNA from 1 species
AGUGAACGCUGGCGGUAGGCCUAACACAUGCAAGUCGAACGGCAGCACAGUAAGAGCUUGCUCUUACGGGUGGCGAGUGGCGGACGGGUGAGGAAUACAUCGGAAUCUACUUUUUCGUGGGGGAUAACGUAGGGAAACUUACGCUAAUACCGCAUACGACCUACGGGUGAAAGCAGGGGAUCUUCGGACCUUGCGCGAUUGAAUGAGCCGAUGUCGGAUUAGCUAGUUGGCGGGGUAAAGGCCCACCAAGGCGACGAUCCGUAGCUGGUCUGAGAGGAUGAUCAGCACAAUGGGACUUAGGCAACGUCCAGAACUCCUAGGGGGGGCACAGUGGGGAAUUUUGGGCAAUGGGGGGAAGGCUGAUCCCGGCAAAACGGGGGGGGUAAGAAAGCCUUUCGGGUGGUAAGCCCUUUUGUUGGGAAAGAAAAGCAGCAGGUUAAUACCCCGCUGUUCUGACGGUACCCAAAGAAUAAGCACCGGCUAACUUCGUG